AACGGGUCUUCUGGCACCGACCAAUCAGGCUCCAGGAGCCUACCAGUUCUCACCGCGGAGUGGCCGCAGACGUGAGGGGUAGCUACGGAAGGGGCAAGAUGGUAUCCAGGCCUCUAUGACUGCAUCUCCGCCCUCAGCAUCCAGGGAAACCAGCAGCAGAAGAGCAACCUGGAAUGGAGAAUCACGUCCAUCCGUCAUACCUUGAUGCAGAAUACAGAAACAUCUGGAUUCAUCACCACCCUCCUCCCCCGACUCCUACUCUUCCCCAGUGACUAGGGUUUGGCCUUUCUGGAUUCUGUCUCUACCUGUCUGGCAAUGCCUUCUCAGGCUCUUGUGAAGUGGAAGGUGUUCUGCCUCCUCUACCCACCCUUUAAGAGUGGAAGCCACCAGAAUUCAGUGUGGGAUCUCACCCCCUAAAAAACAUUUCUGGGUCAGCUGA